rnacentral:rRNA from 1 species
UGGGGAAUCUUGGACAAUGGGGGCAACCCUGAUCCAGCCAUGCCGCGUGAGUGAAGAAGGCCUUAGGGUUGUAAAGCUCUUUCGCACGUGACGAUGAUGACGGUAACGUGAGAAGAAGCCCCGGCUAACUUCGUGCCAGCAGCCGCGGUAAUACGAAGGGGGCUAGCGUUGUUCGGAAUUACUGGGCGUAAAGCGCGCGUAGGCGGGUCGGUAAGUCGAUUGUGAAAGCCCUGGGCUCAACCUGGGAAUUGCAGUCGAAACUGCCGAUCUUGAAUGUCUGAGAGGAUGGCGGAAUUCCCGGUGUAGUAGUGAAAUACGUAGAUAUCGGGAAGAACACCUGAGGCGAAGGCGGCUAUCUGGCGGUACAUUGACGCUGAGGCGCGAAAGCGUGGGGAGCAAACAGG